UGAAAUUCUUGGAAAAAAAAAAGAAAAAGAAAAAGAAAGAAAGAAAGAAGAAAUAUAAGCCAAUUUUCCCCUUCUAUACCAACUGCUCUCCUGAGCUAGACCAGUAAGGAGCCCCCAGCACCACACUCUCUCACAUCAUAAACUGGAGAAGACGUCACAAGCAAGGUGAGAGGACCUGGCUCUGGGGCGCACACAUGUGGAAAACCAACCUCUGAAGGUCUGCCUCAAAGGGCCUGCAGGGAUGGGACAGAGAGGACAGCCGCCCCCCCACCCCCGCCGGAGUCCAGCCACCACACCCUGCGAUCUACCAUCAGCUCCUGUUAUCUUCCCUCAGCUCCUGUUAUCUUCCCUCUCUUCCCGAAGACCCCUCCUCCCUAUCUCCCUGCCCAGUUUUCCCUCUCUUAAGCCCGGCAGCUGGGCCUGCUGAUGUCUGUUACGGGUCUUGCUCACAACUCAGAAUAGGCAGAAGAGGCUGCUGACCUCUGGACCAAAAGUUGGCCUGUGGUGGGGGAGGGGAGCCAGGGAGGAGGGGAGGGUGGGGGCUGAGAGGCAGUCCCAAAGGAUUUUAAUGUCUCAAAGGAUUUUAAGGGCUAACAUGGGUACAGAGGUCCUCACCAGCUCUACAGUUACCAAGUUUUAUGAUUAUCAGUCCUUUUUCCAGACUUCAUUAUUCUUGGAUAAUAUGUGAGGCUUGAAACUGGAGAAAAUGGGUUUGCCCAGCAAAAAAAGUUGUAAAAUAUUUCUCUCUAGCCAAACACCAGAAUGGAUUUGGGAAGGAAAGGGUAUAGAUUUUUUUUUUUUUUUUUUUUUUACUGCACAGUAAGUAUGACAAAAUCUUGCUAAUUGUUGUAUCUGGGAAACAGGUAUAUAGGAAUUCAUUUCACUGGUCUA